CCUAAAGUUCUGAGAGCAAACAGAUUUGAUCCUGAUCUUGCUAUCAAUUAAUACUUAACUUACACAUGCAAGUCUCCGCAACCCGGUGAGAACACCCUUAAACCUUCCACAAGAUAAGGAGUUGAUAUCAGGCACAGAUAUCUGGCCCACAACAUCUAGCCUCGCCACACCCUUAAGGGUAUUCAGCAGUGAUUAAUAUUGAACAUAAGCGCCAGCUUGAUUCAGUUAAAGUAUAUAGUGCCGGCUAACACGGUGCCAGCCGCCGCGGCUACACCGCUGGGCACAAGUUGAUAACCUACGGCGUUAAGCGUGUUUUAAGUAAAAUUAAAAUUAAAUUAGAGUUAAAUUAUUAGUACAGGCGUUAAAAUCUUACUUCUUAGAAACCCAAAAACGAAAGUUACUCUAACAAACUUGAAUCCACGACAGCCGGGACACAAACUGGGAUUUGAUACCCCACUAUGCCCAGCCGUAAAAUAUUAACUUACAUCAUAAACCGCCUGAGAACUACGAGCACACGCUUAAAACUCAAAGGACUUGACGGUGUCCCAUCCAACUAGAGGAGCCUGUUCUGUAAUCGAUAAUCCCCGAUAAACCUUACCACUUUUAGCUUAUCAGUCUGUAUACCUCCGUCGAAAGCUUACCCUGUGAAUGAUCAUUAGUAAGCAAUAAGGUCUAUCCACCAAAACGUCAGGUCAAGGUGCAGCUUACGAAAUGGGAAGAAAUGGGCUACAAUUUCUAAACUAGAACAAACGAAAAGAUUUGUAUGAAAUAUAAUCAUGAAGGCGGAUUUAGUAGUAAAAAGGAAAUAGAGUGUCCUUUUUAAUCAAGCACUGGGACAUGUACACACCGCCCGUCAUCCUCUUCAAUAAUAAUAUAAUAGUCUAUAACACAUAACUAAACAUAAGAAGAGGCAAGUCGUAACAUGGUAAGUAUACUGGAAAGUGUACUUGGAUUACAAAAUAUAGCUUAAUUAAAGCAUUUCGCUUACACCGAAAAGAUAUCUGUGAAACACAUAUUAUUUUGAGCCCCAAAUUUAGCUUCUAAUAUUCUAAUGUAAGCCUUUUUCAAACAAAUAUAAAUAAAACAUUUCAACAGUUUAGUAAGUGUGACUAAAAAACCACUACAAGCUAUAAAUCAAGUACCGCAAGGGAACAUUGAAAUAGAAAUUAAAUAAACUUAAAGCACAAAAAAGUAGAGAUAGACCCUCGUACCUUUUGCAUCAUGAUCUAGUAAGAAUAAUCAAGCAAAUAUUUAAUACAGUUUGAACUCCCGAAACUAGACGAGCUACUUAAAAACAACCUGACGGGUAAACCCUUCUCUGUUGCAAAAGAGUGGGAAGAUUUUUAAGUAGAGGUGAUAUGCCUACCGAGCCUAGAGAUAGCUGGUUAUUCAAGAAAAGAAUAUAAGUUCUGCCUUAAGUCAUAAAAAUGCACAAAUCAUAAAACAACUUCUUAAGAGUUAUUCAAGUAAGGUACAGCCUACUUGAUUCAGGAUACAACCAAAAUUAUAGGGUAAUAUCUUAUAUCUGCACUAAAGUGGGCCUAAAAGCAGCCAUCUUUUAAAAAGCGUCACAGCUUAACUUCUCCAUUAAUUAAUACCAAAAAACACUUAAACCCCAUUAUUAGUAUUGAAUAAUUUUAUAAAAAUAUAAAAAAUACAAUGCUAGAACUAGUAAUAAGAAAUAUGCAUUUCUCCUAAAUGCAAGCACAAAUCAGCAAGAACUAUUCCCUGACCAAUAUUGUAAUGUAAAAUAAUAACUUAACCAGAAAAUCUUACUUCACUAAACAUUAACCUAACACAAGAACAUUUAAGGAAAGAUUAAACCAGAGAGAAGGAACUCGGCAAAUUUUAGUCUCGCCUGUUUACCAAAAACAUCGCCUCUUGAUUACCAUAAGAGGUCUAGCCUGCCCAGUGACCAAUUUAACGGCCGCGGUACCCUAACCGUGCAAAGGUAGCAUAAUCACUUGUUUCUUAAAUGGGGACUAGUAUCAAUGGCAUCACGAAGACUACACUGUCUCCCCUUUAAAAUCAAUGAAACUGAUCCCCUCGUGAAGAAGCGAGGAUAUAAAUAUAAGACGAGAAGACCCCAUGGAGCUUUAAACGAACUUCAAUUGCUCCCCUCCUUACCAUAUAAGUUGAGCACUAAUGAUAGGUAGUUUUCGGUUGGGGCGACCGCGGAGUAAAACAAAACCUCCACAAUGAAUGUAAUAAAUACUAAUAAAAGAACCACAAUUCUAAUAAUCAAAAAUUUGACAUAAAUUGACCCAAACACUUGAUCAAUGAACCAAGUUACCCUGGGGAUAACAGCGCAAUCCAUUUUAAGAGCCCUUAUCGACAAAUGGGUUUACGACCUCGAUGUUGGAUCAGGGUAUCCCAGUGGUGCAGCCGCUACUAAUGGUUCGUUGUUCAACGAUAAAA
rnacentral:misc_RNA from 1 species